rnacentral:rRNA from 1 species
UUUGGAGGUAGUGACAAUAAAUCACAAUGCGGGACUAUACGUCUUGCAAUUGGAUUGAGAACAAUGUACAACUCUUAUCGAUAAGCCAUUGGAGGGCAAGUCUGGUGCCAGCAGCCGCGGUAAUUCCAGCUCCAAUAGCGUAUAUUAACGUUGUUGCAGUUAAAAAGCUCGUAGUUGAAGUGUGGGUGAUCGCUGUUGUGAGACUUCGGUCUCUCGACAGUAAGUCACCCCCUUCCAGUAUCCAGUAGUGGGUAUUCAGUUACUUACUAUUGUGUGUUGGUCAUUUACUGUGAGAAAAUUAGAGUGUUCAAAGCAGGCGUUUGCUUGAAUAGAUUAGCAUGGAAUAAUAAUUGAAGGCUUUCGUGUUCGAUUUGAUUGGUUUGUUCAUGGAAGCAAGGUUAAAAGGAACAGUUGGGGGUAUUCAUAUUCACUAGUUAGAGGUGAAAUUCUCGGAUUUAUGGAAGAUGAACAAGUGCGAAAGCAA